rnacentral:rRNA from 1 species
GAUGAACGCUGGCGGCGUGCCUAAUACAUGCAAGUCGAGCGAACAGGCGAGGAGCUUGCUCCUCUGACGUUAGCGGCGGACGGGUGAGUAACACGUGGAUAACCUACCUAUAAGACUGGGAUAACUUCGGGAAACCGUAGCUAAUACCGGAUAAUAUAUUGAACCGCAUGGUUCAAUAGUGAAAGACGGUUUUGCUGUCACUUAUAGAUGGAUCCGCGCCGCAUUAGCUAGUUGGUAAGGUAACGGCUUACCAAGGCAACGAUGCGUAGCCGACCUGAGAGGGUGAUCGGCCACACUGGAACUGAGACACGGUCCAGACUCCUACGGGAGGCAGCAGUAGGGAAUCUUCCGCAAUGGGCGAAAGCCUGACGGAGCAACGCCGCGUGAGUGAUGAAGGUCUUCGGAUCGUAAAACUCUGUUAUUAGGGAAGAACAAAUGUGUAAGUAACUAUGCACGUCUUGACGGUACCUAAUCAGAAAGCCACGGCUAACUACGUG